AGUGUCAUGGGGAUUUGCAGUUCAAAUAUUCCGUGGGGUGUUGUCCCCCCGCGAAAUGGAAAUGCCAUCAAGAACUUUCCUGAAUUGGUAUAAGAGAGCAGAUUACACUGCAUACGCUUUUAACACAAGGCCUGUUGCUAGGAACCCAUGCCAAAAACCUUUUGUGUUUUAUUUGUCAAGUGCCAAAAUGGAUCCUUCUAGCAACCAAACAGUGAGCCAGUAUUCUCGUCAUCGAGUUCCUCAUCCAGCAUGCAAAUGGAAGACGACAGACCCUGCUGAUGUUGAUCGCGUUCAGGUUUAUAAGAAGCCUGACCCACAUCUAUGGGAUCGGUCUCCAAGGAGGAAUUGUUGCAGAGUCUUAAGCUCAAAGGGAAAAAACAUGGUGGUGGAUGUUGGUGUAUGUAAGGAAGGUGAGCUCAGUGAAGUAUGAUGAUGCAUAACUCGGGCCCGUCUUCUCCUUCCGUCUUCUCCCCUUGUAUUCGCUCCUCAAUUGAUUCUCGUAUGUAUUUCUUCAUUUAUUGAACUUGCGAAAAUUUUUCUUGGAUUCAUCCAAGUUUCCUCUACUUAUGACCCACUAUAUUAGAGAAAAAGAAGAGCUAAUGUAAAAU
rnacentral:misc_RNA from 1 species